CGUCAUUUACCUGGCAGGAAACACGGCGCCUAAGCGGCUCAAACGCUCAAAAGUUUGAUUAUACUUUAUGAGAACCGAUGACAACAGGGCAACUUGCAAAGUAGAUAUUUCAUUUAAGGGAGGAAACACUACGAAUAUGCAAAAGCAUUUGCUCACAAAACACGCGAUGACACGCGUUUUUAAUUCCGCUCCGGACUCGUGACUCUCAACCCAGCAGCAGCGCUAACGUUUGCACGUCCUCUCCCGUUAAUGCGGCAGGUGACCAUGAUGAGAGAGACAGACAGAGUCUGGCUGGCGCUCGCUGGUAGUUCUCGCUGCAGUCUACCGGUAGCGUCUCCUUUCAGGCCAGGAUAGACUAAUGUCACCGAGCAGUGUCUAAGUUUGUGGUCAAAGGCUUGCACCCAUUUGCCACAGCAGAUGCCCCCGAUUUUUGGUAAGUGAAUGUGUUUAAUUGUGGGCAGGGACAUUACUGGAUAUUCUUGUGUAAUUGCCACAGAACAAUUUAUGUUAUACUUUGUUAUUGCUACAGAAGAAUGUUGCAGCUUUAAGGCAGGGAUGACUCCUGGAGUUGCUUUCUCACUGCAUAUGCUUUAUUUCACAAUCAGAUCGAUUCGAUAACAAAAACAUACAGCAGCUCCUCUCCUACUCCUAGCCCUUCGCUGCGGUGGAAAAAAAGAACGACUUCAAUCCCCUUCAAGGAACAUACGUACAAAAUAGUUUUCCUGAUACACCAAUGGGGCGUUCAAUGCCAUCUUGUAAAUAUGAGUACUCUGGCAGAGUAACAGUUCAAAUGAAAAAUACACCAGAACAAACAAGCAAACAAAAAAAGAAGUGUGGGGUACCUUUGAACCAAUGAACAAAGUAUAACAAUUUAUACUUUUUAACAUAACCCGACCCCGUCAAUAUGUGAUAUGUCUCACAAGAAUAUUUAUUUUAUUAUUUUACAUUUACAAUUUUUUUUCCUGGGGACCCUGUGACACCCCAUUGAAGAGCCGUAGGCUGGAUCUCUCAAGAUCUCACUGUUGGGUUUGUAAGGCCAUGUUACUCCUAAAUUUCUAUCUUGUUCAAAGAGAAGAUAUAAAACAAAGCUCUGAGCUAAUCGACCUUAGUGUUCUCCUUUUUUAAAAAAAAAAAAGAAUCGAUAAGAGAAUCGAUAAAGAAUCGAAUCGUUAAACAGAAUCGAAAAUGGAAUCGGAAUCGUUAAAAUCUUAUCAAUACCCAUCCCUACUAGGAAAUGUGUGUUUUUAUUGAUAAUGCCGCCGACCACGGCUGAUAGUUCUAUAGUGUUCAUGACCGUUUUUGUCUCAAUAGUAGUCCAAGAGCACCUGUCUCAUGUUAGAUAUUUCAAUGACUGAAUCAAAUACAGAAUAACACAAGAGGUUCACUGUACGGGGUAGUGGAUUUCUGAAACGGGUUUCCAAUCUCACGUUCCCAGUUUUAAUUAACGACACAUUCCCUGAAUGUCCUUCGUCAGCUUCCAGAUUGAAACAGAAUAAAGUGUAGCCGUUACCAAAGUCGUCACGUGUUAUGGCCAAGGAUCUGUCCUUUAAAUGUCUUCCUGUGGUUUGUAUCAGCUGGUAAAAUUCUCUGAUAUAGUGUUUUCUCUGGAAAUUUGGUUGGAAUGGUUUAGCAGGAUAAGCCUGACAAUGCCAUGGUGCAAUGCCUUGCUGUGUGCAAGUCUGACGCUUGGUGAUACACUAACUUUCUUGACAAAGAGACUGGCUGAGACAAUUUUAACUCUGUAUGCAUUGGCAUCCGCUGUCAUGAGAGCAAAUUCGUCUUUAGAGCGCACAAAUUUCAGCGACAGGUCGAUUCCAUUAAGUAACAGUUUUUCUUGAAAAAACAGGUCUGCAUGUACUGGUGCAAUCAAUUCAACAAUACUGCUAUUUGCUGUGUAGCCACCUCUGGUCACCAGACCCUGGUUCUCUCCUUCUAUAGAUGUGUCAUUCAUGUGUGAUGAUGUAUCCUUACAGAAUAACCCGGUGCUGAACUGUGUGUCUAAAGUGUCCUUAUUAUAAUUGAUAAGACAUUCUAUCACACCUCUGUAUGGAUAUGUAUUGGAUGAUUGACUAAUGAGCCGGUCUCCCAAAUUAAUAUCGACUUGACUAAAUAUGCUGCAUCCAGGAUAAUUAAUAAAUCCUACAUUAGCAUCCCUAGCCAGGUUUGAGCCAUCAGCGUUUGUGAUUCUCACCCGUGUGUAGAUAUAUGAGUCAUUUAGAUCCAGGUAAUCUUCACCCGACGAUGAGAUGUAAAACUCGAUCGGCCCUCCAUCAGUGAUUGCAGAUACAGGUGGGAUUUCAAUAAAUGUACUUUUCUCAAUGCUAGUCUGUGUGUAUGGGACAGUAAAAAGAUCGAGCUCUGUUUUUACACAUUCUCCCGAAUGACUGUGUAACAGUGCCAUUUAGAAUAUGUCAAACGCUGCAGUUUUUGAACGACUGGUUCUGGGUCUUUUCACUCUGCGUGACGGUGUCCGUUUGGUGGCUCUCCUGCUAGGUUUUGUGGUUUUACGCUUUUUAGACAACGGCUGCCCUGGGGGUGGGGUCUUAGAUGGUUUGGGCGUAUACACAUACAAGCCGUUACCGUCCUGCUUAGUGGUUGAGGGUCUGGUUAUGUUGGUUAUGACAUCAGACACUAUGCCCGAUGCGGCUGUUUUUAGGUGUGGUUUGACUAUGCUGACUCCUUUUUUAAACAGCGGUACUGCAAAUCUAAACAAGCUACGGAACAACCCACCCAGACCUGUCCCAUAUUGUGUACUGGUCCCAACAUACCCUCCGAGCUCUCCACCAGCCUGUGAUAAGUAGUAUUUUACAUAUUUUGAGUCAUCAGUGUUGUAGACGGCCAUCCUUUUUUUUUUUUUCAAAAAUGCUGGGUUAUCGGUCGGAAGUGUAACUUGACAAACACUUUGCCAUAUAAAAAGGGUAUGUGUUGAUUUCGAUCGUCUUUCAAAUCAAUUUCUAUGUCGUCGAUUAAUGUCUUUGACACAGGUGUGUAGUGUGGGCUGUCAAAUUGUAGAAUAGGCAAGCGGCGGUCAUCGUCUGUAAUAUUUAUAGCUCUUAAUAACCUCGCGUGGGCGUCACCCACAAGCUGGUAAUCAACGAUAUCUGCAUAAAUAAAGAUGUUAUAUUUUCCCCCGUAUAUGUCUGCGGGGUGUGGGGCAUAUGUGUUUUUAUAAUGAAGUACAAACGGGUCUCCUGUUUUGAAUCCUAGGAUUUCCGCCAGUCUCCCUUUAAAUGUGAGAAUAGUCCCCCUAGGCCCCAUAACACAGGCAUGGUUACUAACUGCGUUGUACUGCAUUUUAAUGUCUCCAGUGGCUUGGUGCUGCUGACAUUUAAAAUUAAAUUCUUUUAUUAUCUGUUCCACAGAUGCAUAAUGGCCCACAGACAGUUCGAUCGUGGUUACGGCUAAGGUUCCAUCUUUGACUGGGUCCUGAAUUUCCACUUCCGAAUCUGAUUGUGGAAAAGUCCGCCAUAUGCGUGGGUACUGUAUCUCUAUAACAGCGACCUCAUACGGCUGAUCCAAAACAAUAGGUUUUGCUAGCUUUGUUCUAAAAUUAGAUAUCUUAUUACCCGGGUAAACAUGUGCUGAAGCAUUCGAGAAGAGGCUUACAUAGAAGCCUGCAUUGUUGUUCUUUUUAUUCAUGCUUUCUCAGUCUAUGCUCAGUGUUGAAUGAAUGUAUGUAGAGCUGCGUCAUCUGAGUUAAUUACGCCUCAACGAUGUCUUUUUCUGGAAUCCACGAAUUAAAGCUGUUGGGCCAUCCUAGCCAUUUCACUAGCACCUGCUUUUUCCGACCCACUUUUUUUCUAGCCAAUAUGUUUUCAAUUUUAAAUGUUUUGUUUUCAUCAACAACCACACGUUGUAUCUCAGGCUCAUAAAAUGACCCUUUCAAUACCUCUCCUGCUAGAUCCACUAGUCUGUACACUGGGGGCUGUCUCCCUAUACGUUCCUUGACUGUGAAAAUCUCAUCGGUGUAGGUCUGCUCGUAUCCUUUUCGAAACUUUCCUCUCAGUUUUGAUAUUCGUACAGUGUCACCGAUAUUAAAUUUAAAGCGCAGUUCCCUCUGAGGUCUCGUUUUGUACAGCGCGUUAAAGACCGACUUCUCAUUAUGCUUAUUCACCUCUGCCGGAGCCAUUUGGAUAGAUCUGUGAUAAGCAUUGUUAUAUGCUUGUGUGAGAUCUGGUAUGACAUCUACAUAUCUCCGGGAGUUGGCUGAUGUUAAGUACUUCCACAUUCUACCCUUGAAGCUACGAUUGAAUCUCUCGACAAUACUGCAUUUAACCUCGCUAGCUGUUGAGAAAUGCUUGAUAUUAUAUCGCUUCAUUAGCUGUUUAAAGGUUGCAUUAUAAAACUCUUUGCUUUCAUCUAUUUGUAGUUUCACAGGGAUCCUACCCUCACUAAGUAUAUCCUCAAAAGCAGCUGAUACAACAGUCCCUGUGUCAUGGUCCCUGUGCCUCCCCGGCCAGCCCAGUGUGGCCACAAGUGUUUGUUGUUUUUCUCUCACUCUGUCUCUCCUACCUGUCUGCCUGGGCGGAGCUCUGAUUGGGCUCCUGCCCUUGGCCCACGCACCUGCAGCUGAUCUCGAGCGGAUUGCAGUUCUCUGGCUCUUAAGGCUGGGGCUCUGAGCUGUUCGUCGCUGGAAUAUUGAGUAACUCUCGUUAGUAUUGCCUGGCUUCCUUGCGAUUCUACUGUUCCCGUGUUUGCCUUCGACUUACCCUCGUCUGUGUAAACAGGUUUACCUGGAUCAGCCCUUUUGUGACCCCUGGACCCCGUGAGUAGGAGAGUGAGCUGAGCUGCUUGUGUGGAGACUGUUUGGACGAGGAGCAGAGCGAGUGCGAAGAAGUGUGUCUCCCCAGCCAAGUGAUCCCCGGGACCCUGGUGUUUCCCCCCCCUUCACGUGUAUAUAGUGCACCAGUGUGAUUAAUAAAGUGUUGUUGAACUGUGCUACCUCAGUCUGCGCCUGAGUCCGUUCCACUCCCGUGACACCCUGUCUUGUUUGUUAGACAUCUAACCCAUGCGUAUUUUGAGAAUACAUCUAUACAUGUUAGCAGAUAUCUCACAUUAUCAUUAUCUGCCACAUAUUCACACAUGUCAACCAGAUCGGCUUGAAACUGUUUGUCGACCCC
ensembl:lncRNA